CCCGCCUCGUAUGGUGCCUACAAGCAUGCAGUUAAUCCAGUACACAAUGUCUGGCAGGCCCAUCAUUCGCAUGAUUUCCUACAAUAAUAAAAAGAAGCGAGAAAAGCAUUAGAAAUAAACGAGUCUAUCUCAGCAUUACGACUUACGACGAUGGGAAUUCUAACGAAUUCCCAUCUGUUUUGAAGAAACGUAUUCUGUCAUCUUCAAUCAAGGUGCAUUCUCGUGAUGAAGCUCCCCGAAAAGAACUUGAUGCGGAUAUCCAGAUUCGAACAUAUGACUUACCACACAAACCGGCCUUGAUGCUGUGUUAGCCAGCCUGAAUCAAGUAUCACUGACGACGAUAAGCGACUGUAUAAAAAGUACAACUAACUGUGAAAAUGAGGAUGCGCACGCAAAGAAGAGACUAC